CACAAGAAAAUAUUUGGUUUUUGGAGAGAUGAACAUGCACAAGUUUGUGUGGAUCUUUCUUACUAUAAUCGCCAUGCUAUCUCUUUCGGUUUCCUCUCAUAGGGGAGGAAUGAUCGGACAUUUUAUUCCAUUAACUUGUGAUACAAAUUGUGCGGACAGGGGUGAGAUUGCAGACAAAAAAUGCUUAAGCUCAUGCCUUCAUAGAGGAUUUGUAUACGGAGUAUGCCUUCCAAAUACAAAGUUUGUAUCAUGUUGUUGUAGCUAUAAGUGAGAUCCAACAAAGUUACUAUGACUCGGUAUGAAAUAAAUUAUCUUGAAUAAUAAAUCGAAAGUUUGUUAUUAUUCUCU